GUCUGUGUUUUUGACAACGCCCUUGCUUUACACCUGCCUGUACCUUCACCUCGCUGACUGCCUUUUUGUGUAUCAGACCCACUGCCUGAAUUUUCGAUAAAGCCUUUUAUAUCCUGCCACCUGCUUGUGAGUCUGCAUUGUGCCUCCUACCACCUGCUGUUCUCUGUCCCUCUCC